UGGGGAAUAUUGGACAAUGGGGGCAACCCUGAUCCAGCAAUGCCGCGUGUGUGAAGAAGGUCUUCGGAUUGUAAAGCACUUUCGACGGGGACGAUGAUGACGGUACCCGUAGAAGAAGCCCCGGCUAACUUCGUGCCAGCAGCCGCGGUAAUACGAAGGGGGCUAGCGUUGCUCGGAAUGACUGGGCGUAAAGGGCGUGUAGGCGGUUUACACAGUCAGAUGUGAAAUCCCCGGGCUUAACUUGGGAGCUGCAUUUGAUACGUGUAGACUAGAGUGUGAGAGAGGGUUGUGGAAUUCCCAGUGUAGAGGUGAAAUUCGUAGAUAUUGGGAAGAACACCGGUGGCGAAGGCGGCAACCUGGCUCAUGACUGACGCUGAGGCGCGAAAGCGUGGGGAGCAAACAGGAUUAGAUACCCUGGUAGUCCACGCUGUAAACGAUGUGUGCUAGAUGUUGGGUAACUUUGUU
rnacentral:rRNA from 1 species